AAACCUCAAACCGUCGGGGUCUCUCCCGGCGGCUUGGAUUGGGCGUCUGCCGUCUGGCUCGCCUGAAAUGCAUGGACGAGUUGAAUAAGUGUCAACAGAGUCUUUCAACUGUU
rnacentral:misc_RNA from 1 species